CGGCGGACGGGUGAGUAACGCGUGGGUAACCUACCCUGUACACACGGAUAACAUACCGAAAGGUAUGCUAAUACGGGAUAAUAUAUUUGAGAGGCAUCUCUUGAAUAUCAAAGGUGAGCCAGUACAGGAUGGACCCGCGUCUGAUUAGCUAGUUGGUAAGGUAACGGCUUACCAAGGCGACGAUCAGUAGCCGACCUGAGAGGGUGAUCGGCCACAUUGGACUGAGACACGGCCAA
rnacentral:rRNA from 1 species